rnacentral:rRNA from 1 species
UGCCAGCCGCCGCGGUAACACGUAGGGGGCAAGCGUUGUCCGGAUUUAUUGGGCGUAAAGAGCUCGUAGGCGGUUCGCUAAGUCGGGUGUGAAACCUCCAGGCUCAACCUGGAGACGCCACCUGAUACUGGUGUGACUCGAGUCCGGUAGGGGAGCGUGGAAUUCCUGGUGUAGCGGUGAAAUGCGCAGAUAUCAGGAGGAACACCAGCGGCGAAGGCGGCGCUCUGGGCCGGAACUGACGCUGAGGAGCGAAAGCGUGGGUAGCAAACAGGAUUAGAUA